rnacentral:rRNA from 1 species
UACGUAGGUGGCAAGCGUUAUCCGGAUUUAUUGGGUUUAAAGGGUGCGCAGGCGGUCUGUUAAGUCAGCGGUCAAAGCCCGGGGCUCAACCCCGGCGAGCCGUUGAAACUGGCGGGCUGGAGUUGGAGAGAAGUACGCGGAAUGCGCGGUGUAGCGGUGAAAUGCUUAGAUAUCGCGCAGAACUCCGAUUGCGAAGGCAGCAUGCCGGCUCCACACUGACGCUGAGGCACGAAAGCGUGGGUAUCGAACAGG